AUAAUAAUGGCGCAGUAUCCUAGUCAAUGCUGCUGGCUCCCAGGAAGGGCCUAAAAAUCCUUUAAAGGGCAUAACUGUGAAACCCAUGGUGCCUGCUUCUUACGCCCAGUUUGGGGUGGGUGCUGAGGGAAGGCGUAGCAAUUACGCCUGCGGAGGAAGGGCGGCCUUCAAUGGCAUGAAGUCCCCGACCCUGCCUUUGCGGAGACCUGUUAUUGUGCAGGAGCGUACUCCCCGCGUGGUAAGCGACUCCUGUACGAGACAGGAUGUGAACCUGUAUUGCGGUGCGAAAGAGGCUCGCCUCCCAGCGCUGUGUGCAGAGUAGCCUGCCUUGCGUGAACAGAUCGGGAUUGCGGUGUCAGGCGCACAGACCUCUGGCCGGAGGCGAAGUGCGAUAUUGCUGCAUGAAAGCCUGUUUGCAAAAGAGGAUAAGAGUCAGUUUGCGUUGUUGUGGAAAUCACCUAGGCUGUCUUUUAAAGAGCAGAUAAGGGAUUGCAGUACGGACUAAGUGGCAAUCGGGUCGCUUUCUUGGCAACGGGAAGACGGACGCUUUCAAGGGAAACCACUUCACUGGCGACGGGGAGCAGUGUCCGGGGAAAUCCUACCCGACCUAAGCCGUAAGCUUAAUCUUAUCUGCUGCCAUUAG
rnacentral:sRNA from 1 species